UGGGGAAUAUUGGACAAUGGAGGAAACUCUGAUCCAGCAAUUCUGUGUGUGUGAAGAAGGUUUUAGGACUGUAAAACACUUUUAGUAGGGAAGAAAAAAAUGACGGUACCUACAGAAGAAGCAACGGCUAAAUACGUGCCAGCAGCCGCGGUAAUACGUAUGAUGCGAGCGUUAUCCGGAAUUAUUGGGCUUAAAGGGCAUCUAGGCGGUAAGACAAGUUGAAGGUGAAAACCUGUGGCUCAACCAUAGGCUUGCCUACAAAACUGUUGAACUAGAGUACUGGAAAGGUGGGUGGAACUACACGAGUAGAGGUGAAAUUCGUAGAUAUGUGUAGGAAUGCCGAUGAUGAAGAUAACUCACUGGACAGAAACUGACGCUGAAGUGCGAAAGCUAGGGGAGCAAACAGG
rnacentral:rRNA from 1 species